CCUACGGGAGGCAGCAGUGAGGAAUAUUGGUCAAUGGACGAGAGUCUGAACCAGCCAAGUAGCGUGAAGGAUGACUGCCCUAUGGGUUGUAAACUUCUUUUAUAAAGGAAUAAAACGAGGCACGUGUGCCUUUUUGCAUGUACUUUAUGAAUAAGGAUCGGCUAACUCCGUGCCAGCAGCCGCGGUAAUACGGAGGAUCCGAGCGUUAUCCGGAUUUAUUGGGUUUAAAGGGAGCGUAGAUGGGUUGUUAAGUCAGUUGUGAAAGUUUGCGGCUCAACCGUAAAAUUGCAAUUGAUACUGGCAGUCUUGAGUACAGUUGAGGUAGGCGGAAUGCGUGGUGUAGCGGUGAAAUGCUUAGAGAUCACGAAGAACCCCGAUUGCGAAGGCAGCUUACUAAGCUGUGACUGACAUUGAUGCUCGAAAGUGUGGGUAGCAAACAGGAUUAGAUACCCUUGUAGUC
rnacentral:rRNA from 1 species